rnacentral:tRNA from 1 species
GGGGUUGUGGCUCAGCGGUAGAGCGCUCAGCUAGCACGUGUGAGGCCCUGGGUUCAAUCCUCAGCACCACA